rnacentral:rRNA from 1 species
AUGUGGGGGGACUCGAAGCCGAUGCUCAAGUCCCGCGGCGGGGCCGGGGGCGGCGGCGGCGGCGACGAGGAGGGCGACUACUUCCCCAACACGCCGCGCAAGGACUGGUCCACGGGCCUGCUCAAGCUCGUCACCGCCAUGGUCAUCUUCAUGGCCGGCGUCGUCAUCGGCCUCUCCGUCAGCGCCAACGUCUCCCGCUACUACUACAACUCCCACACCGAGCUCUUCUUCCCCACCGCCACCUACAGCUCCUGCGACCGCCGGGGCGCCACGGGGGACUGCGGCCCCGGCUUCAGGGCCUUCGUGCACCCGCCCACCCUCGCGCACUCCAUGACCGACGACGAGCUCUUCUGGCGCGCCACCCUCGUGCCCACCGCCGAGGAGUUCCCCUUCCAGCGCGUCCCCAAGGUCGCCUUCCUCUUCAUGACCCGCGGCCCGCUCCCCUUCGCCCCGCUCUGGGAGCGCUUCUUCCGCGGUCACCAGGGGCUCUUCUCCGUCUACCUCCACACCAUCCCGGACUACAAGCUCAACGUCUCCAAGACAUCCCCAUUCUACGGCCGCCAGAUCCCCAGCGAGGAAGUGUCUUGGGGAUCAAUAACCCUGGUUGAUGCUGAGAAGCGCCUGCUGGCCAAUGCAUUGUUGGAUUUCUCAAACGAGCGUUUUGUUCUGCUCUCGGAGAGCUGCAUUCCGGUGUUCAACUUCCCAACUGUCUACGAGUAUCUCAUAAACUCGGAGCACAGCUUUGUCGAGUCCUACAACAUCGACACCCCUCAAAGCGCUGGCCGCUACAACCGUCGAAUGGCCCCUCACAUCUUGCCGGAGCAAUGGAGGAAAGGGUCAGAGUGGUUUGAGCUUAACCGUGAGCUGGCCGUGCGUGUCGUAGCGGACUACAAGUACUACUCGAUCUUCCGGAAGCAUUGCAGACCAUCUUGCUACCCGGACGAGCAUUACAUACCGACCUAUCUUCAUCUGUUCCACGGGUCGCUCAACGCCAACAGGACCAUCACAUGGGUCGAUUGGUCAAGAGGAGGCCCGCAUCCAGCGAGAUAUGGUGCUGGAAACAUCAACGUGGACUUCAUCAAGGCCAUCAGGAACAAUGGUACGCAGUGCCUCUACAACUCGAAGCACACUUCGGUGUGCUACCUCUUUGCUAGGAAGUUUGCUCCCAGUGCUUUGGGACCAUUGAUGAACCUCACUUCGACGGUGUUGGACUUUUGA